rnacentral:rRNA from 1 species
GUGAGCGCGCGGUUGGGGUGUCGCAGAGGGGCAAGCC